CCUACGGGUGGCAGCAGUCGAGAAUCAUUCACAAUGGGGGAAACCCUGAUGGUGCGACGCCGCGUGGGGGAAUGAAGGUCUUCGGAUUGUAAACCCCUGUCAUGUGGGAGCAAAUUAAAAAGAUAGUACCACAAGAGGAAGAGACGGCUAACUCUGUGCCAGCAGCCGCGGGAAUACAGAGGUCUCAAGCGUUGUUCGGAAUCACUGGGCGUAAAGCGUGCGUAGGCUGUUUCGUAAGUCGUGUGUGAAAGGCGCGGGCUCAACCCGCGGACGGCACAUGAUACUGCGAGACUAGAGUAAUGGAGGGGGAACCGGAAUUCUCGGUGUAGCAGUGAAAUGCGUAGAGAGCGAGAGGAACACUCGUGGCGAAGGCGGGUUCCUGGACAUUAACUGACGCUGAGGCACGAAGGCCAGGGGAGCGAAAGGGAUUAGAUACCCGUGUAGUC
rnacentral:rRNA from 1 species